rnacentral:rRNA from 1 species
AGAGUUUGAUCCUGGCUCAGGACGAACGCUGGCGGCGUGCUUAACACAUGCAAGUCGAACGGUGAAGCCUUUCGGGGUGGAUCAGUGGCGAACGGGUGAGUAACACGUGGGCAAUCUGCCCUGCACUCUGGGACAAGCCCUGGAAACGGGGUCUAAUACCGGAUAUGACCUGCUCUCGCAUGGGGGUGGGUGGAAAGCUUCGGUGGUGCAGGAUGAGCCCGCGGCCUAUCAGCUUGUUGGUGGGGUGAUGGCCUACCAAGGCGACGACAGGUAGCCGGCCUGAGAGGGCGACCGGCCACACUGGGACUGAGACACGGCCCAGACUCCUACGGGAGGCAGCAGUGGGGAAUAUUGCACAAUGGGCGGAAGCCUGAUGCAGCGACGCCGCGUGAGGGAUGACGGCCUUCGGGUUGUAAACCUCUUUCAGCAGGGAAGAAGCGUAAGUGACGGUACCUGCAGAAGAAGCACCGGCUAACUACGUGCCAGCAGCGGCGGUAAUAC